UGGAUAGUCAAAGUGACAAUUGCUAGUGACCACAACCAUGAGCCUUGGACAUUAAUGUUCAUGAUUGCAUAUGGGUCAUCCAUUUGAAAAAGAUCUAACUCUCAGACCCUUUAACAAUCUUGCAGGGGUGCUGAUCCCUAGGCCUCCUUUUUUUUUUUUUUUUUUUCCUAGGCCUCCUUUUGUGGUCUAUUACAGGAAUCAUUCCCUGUUCUCUCUCCAGACACUUUCUCUUCCUUCCACCCCUGUCUUCUUGUCCUUUCUAGCGGGAAGUAACCACUCCCUAAGAUCCCUACAUUUGGACAGUCAAGAUGACAAUUAUAAGGUGACCACAACCAUGUAUCUUGGAAGUUCACAUGCAUAAUUGCACAUGGAUUAUCCAUUUGAAUAAUAUUCAACUCUCAGACUCUUUUUGCAGUAUAGCAGGAUGCUGAUCCCUAUUUUCUUGGCUUGUUUUUUGUGUGAUUGUAUUUGUCCAGGAAUCCUCCUCUUUCCCCUCCCCUGACACUUCCCUUUUCCCUUCCACCUCUACUUUCCUAUCCUUCCCAGUAGAAAGUACCCACUUAAUAAAACCCUUGUAUUAUGGACAAAGUGCACAAUUAUAAGUGAUCACAAACAUGUGCCUUGGACAUUAAUGUGAAUAAAUAUAUACAGGACAGCCCAUUUGAUUAAGAGCCUACUCUCAGAUCCCUUUCAUGGUAUAGCUUGGGCACGGAUCCUUAAGCCCUGCUUUCUUGUCCAUGUUUCUGGCACUCGAUAAGAGUCUCCCUCAAUUCCCUCUGCUGUUCAGCAGAGUCCCGACUAUAUUAAGAUACUUGUAGUGUUCAAAGUGUGUACUUUUAAUUUAUCUAACAAUGUCCCUUGAAUAUUAAUGUACAUGAUUGUGACAUGGUUCAUUCUAUGUAACCAAAGUCUUACCAUCUCACACUCCAUUGCAGUAUACAGGGUUGCUGCCUCCUAAGUUUCCUUUUCUUGGCCUGUUAAUGUGCAUAAUACAUGUGUCUGGGUUACAGUGCACUAGACAAGAACCACACCCCUUAACUCCUUAUACCUUUCAAUAGGUGGGGCCCACUGCUGAAUACCCUUUUCAAUUUGAUAGUUAAUGUAUAUAAUUGCUGUUGUCUGCAGCCCUGUCACUUAACAGAACCAUUGUACCUCCUUUGCAUUAUUGCAGGGGUUGCUGUUUUCACCCAAAGUCCCUUCUAGUGGACCAUAUGAAAUUUUAUUUUUUCUUGGUCAGUAAACUAAGGACAUAUUCUCAUUUUUCCUUUGCAGUACAGUAAGGUGUACUGAUAACCCAAACCCUCUUCUUUUGGAUUGUUAAUAUAUGUUAAUGGAUUUGCUCUUGGUUAGCAUAGUGCAUAACAAUCCCACCUACUUCCUUGCUCACUAUUGAAGACUCAGUUGAAAAGUUCAUGUGCACAAACAAUUUUCUAAGCAUGUCUCAUACCCAGAGCCUUUGCUUUAGAGCAGGGGCAUGCUAUUCAGCCAGUGCCUCUUAUUUCAGACUUUAAUGUGAAUUAAUGCAAUUUUUAAUCUCUUCCUUGGACUAGGUUUUCAUCUCAUACCCCCUUUAGAUCAGGGGCAUUUAACUGUGAACAAACUCUUUUUCUAAAGAGUGCAUGAUUGUUUUGGUUGUAGACCUGUAUAUUAGAAAAUGACUCUGCUCAUACCACUACCUUUUGAUUGAUGCUGAGAACUGCUAACUAUUCAUAACCUCAGGUCUUGCACCAGUUAAUUUGCAGCAAUAACAAUAAUUGAAAAUACUGAUCAUCCCUAUUCCCUUUGCAUACAUCAGGGGUACUGGUUCCUUGAAUUGUUAAUGAAAAUAUGUGCAAUUAUACAUGCACAUUUCUGUGAGGCCAGGAUACUAUGCCCUCACAUUUCCUUUGCAUUAUUGCAGGGGCUGCUGACCACCCAAAAAUUCUCUUGGGAUUUUUAAUGGGCACAAUGACAAUUACCGAAUAUUUUUCUCUCCCUGGCCUUGUUAUGUAAGCAGCUUACCUCAGUUGCCUAUGGUAUAAUAAAGCAUAAUAUUGCAGUGUACCCUGCAUUUGUCCAUUGAACAACAACCCAUUGCAUUGGUUACGUUGCUCCAGGAUAUAAAAUCCCAAGUAGCCAGUUUUAUCCUUUAUACAAGGUCUCCCUUUCCCAAUCCCUUAUCUGCCAUUGGUCCUUUAAUUUGGACUGUUAAUGCUCAGGUGUCCAUGCAUCUAGCCAGAUUGUACUCCCUGUCACUCCCCUUCUCCAUGCCCUGCCUCUUUUUCCUCUUUGCUGGGAAUUGUUGACUGGGCAAGGUAAUUUCUCUUGGACCUAAAAAAAUUAGCAAUCCCUUAUGUGAUUGGUUUACCACUUUGUAUUGCUGUAAUGUCUUAAUUACACUUUCCUUGGUACUGCCCAUGAGACAUGGAGGGAUGCCCUCUCCCCUUCUUUUGCAUUGCUUCGAGUAGUGUUGACUACCCAAAGUCUCUUCUGUGUUAUUAAUGAACACAGUACUGAUUGUCCCAUUUGUCAGCCCAUCAGUCCAAGAUCUCUCUCCCACUUCGGUGCGUUUGUGCAGUAUUGACUGUCAAAAGCAGGCCUGAACUAGGUAAUGAGCCUUCACUCUUUUUUCCUGCAUCUGUUAAUAAUCCUAGUUCCAAUUAUUGUCAGAUUCUGGGGAUGAGAACCAUUCUUGUCCACGUCUGUUAAUACUUUACUGUGUGAAGUACUCAAGGCAAGUCAGGACCAGGAGUUGUAUCACCACCCUUUAUUUAGGGUUUUUGAUAUACAGUAUACAGUAUCCAUUGAAAAUUGUCUCCCUAGGAAGGAAGAUUAAUACAUUCUCUGCAUUUUUCCUUAUAAAGCAGAUCACUUGGUUAAAAAUCUCUCCUCUUCUCUUUUGUAUAUUGUUAUUAUACAAUGCUGGUUACCAGGGUAUAACCAGAAAUGUUGCUAUUGAUCUUUUUAUUUUUUUAAGGAAGACAUCUGGAUUGUGAGGUGGAAUUGAAAACCUGGUCAUUAUUUUUUUUAUUUUUCGAGGUCCAGAAAUCCAUUUAUGCUAUGUACUUGACAACCAGUGUCUCUCAUUUUACUGAGGGUGGUAGGUCUGUGGAUAGGCUGGGGGGGUACUCUUGCUAUUUUAGUGGUAUCAAAAGAGUUCUAGAGUGGAAUUCUUAAGUCCAGUAUCUUUGUUUGGGUUGUACCAUCAUUCAUUUUUAGAAAAACUGCCUAAACUUUCUAAUUCUUAAAUUUCUCCAUAUAGAGCACCAGCCCAUAGUUAUUUCAAGAAGAUUGCUAUAAAGAGGAACAGAUGAGAGAAUUUAUGCUGAAGCUCUUUUGAAAAUGUAAUUAGGGUUGCUAUGAGAAGUAUUUGUAAUACUAAAAGCUUUGUAAUUAGUUUAUCAUAUAGAAUUCACUUUAAUUCUGCUAAUAAUGUGAAAUAGCUUAAAGCACCACUCUAGAGUGACUUAUCUUAGAAAUGAUGGGACCAGUUUCUUCACUUUAUAUUAUAAGAAAAAUAAGCCAAGAUCUAGUUGUUCUUGUGGACAUAAAUUUCAACAGUAAGAUAGCUGCCUAAUAAAAAUGAAUACUAUCCCAGCCUCUAGUAUACAGGUUAUUUUGUGGCAAAGGAGUAUUUAAUGUGGAACUGCUGAUGCAAAUAACUAGACAUCACAGCAGCAGUUCUUUUUAAUCACUGAAAAAGGAUGCACUAUUUUUCUGAGAAGGAUAUCAAAAGUUCCGCCCAGCUCAGAGUGCAGUUUGCACUGCUAGCUCCUUGGACAGCUGUAAGAAGAGUCUCUGGCUCUUUAGAAUGCUGGAUGAAUGUAGAGCUGUUCUGUAUCCUGAUUCAAGAGGAAGGAUGGCUUAAUUUGGGGUGAAUUGACGCCUGCUAGAUAGCAGCCAAAGGAUAUUCUGAGAGCUUGUGAGGCCUGAAGACUGCAAUAAGUUGUAAGAGGCUCCAAAUUCAACAGAUCUUUCUUUUUGAGAAUCUGGAUAAGCUCCAGCUAAUCUAACUGGAUGGACUGAAGGUUGCAAUCUAACUGGACAAAAAGAUCUUCCUCAGAAGAAUAGGCUUGUUGCUUUACAGUGUUAGCGACCCAUUCCCUUUGACGAUCCCUAGGUGGAGAUGGGGCAUGAGGAUCCUCCAGGGGAAAAGCUCACUACCACUGGGCAACAACCCUAGGUCAGGAGGGUCUACCAAGAUACUUUCCUGGGCUCAGAUGAAAGGAUGAAGUCUCAAAGAUAGCCACCACAACUCAAGUUGGGAGAACAGGGACAACUCCCACAUCAGCAACAUUGAUCUCAUGAGCAAAUCAUUCUGUCCCAUCUGGUCCCCAAAAUCUCUUGUGGUCCAAUAAGGAGAACUUUGUCAAUCAUUUACAUACUUCAAGAUGCCUUGAGAUAUCCCUGGUAUAUAAACACACAAGCUGUUUGAGAAGAUAAGUGAGAGUCCUAUCUUUUUAUGUUGUUCCUGCUAAUGGAAGCCUCAUAACUACAAAUGGAAACCUUACAGAAAAUGGCACAAAGUUUUAUAUUGGCAGACAGGAUCUAAAGAAGCAGGACCCUGCAUUCUCAAGUUCGUGACUGUUCCCUUCAUAACUGCUGAAUCAUGAUCCUUCUCAAAAGCAGUGCAGAGAGCUGGAUCUUCAGGUAGAUCAAGAAAUUUGAACACAAUAAAAGAAGUCAGACUUUCUACCUGAAGAUCAACAUGGCUACUCUAGCAUUUUAGAAUACCAGAAUGAAUAAGUGUAUAUUUCUUUGCUUGUCUGUUUUUCUCUUGAAUGUCUCUGCUCUUUUCUUUCUAAAGUUGUCUUAGCUAUUUCCAUGUUUCUCUUGCUAAUUUCUCCUAUAUGUCUUUCUUCAUUUUCUUUUUUUUUCCUAAGAGUGAUCUGUGCCUUGUCUUAAAUGUACCUCUCUAGUUCUCUCAUUUUGUUGCUGUUUCUCUUUGUUUUCCUAGAUCUGGUUCUUCUAUCAUUCUUUCUUCCUUUUGUGUCUCUUGUUUGAGUCAUAUGUUGUGUGUUUUGUCCUUUCCUUGUUUUGUCUACUUUUCUUCUUUUUAUCUUUGUGAACUCUGGUGGUUUGUAAUCUUUUUACUUUCUUGUUGGCUUGACAUUUUUACCUUUUUCUAUUUCUGGCCUACUUAUUGCUGCUUCUCCUUAUCUUGCAUUUCUCUUUUCUACGUUUCCUUUCUGCCUGUCUUGGGCUAUUUUUACUUUUUCCUCCACAGUGUGCCUCAGUAUCUCUUUGCUGUUUGUGAUUUUCUCUUUUUUAGCAUUAAUCUCUGUUUGUUUGUGUUUCUUCUUUACUUUUUUCCUUUCUACUUGCCUUUCAGAAUUUCAGCCUCUUCAUGGGUCUCUCUCUUAUUUCAUGUAUUACUUUUCUUUGGCUAUUUCUUUGUGUAUGUGUGCAUGUAUGUCAUGUGUGUCAGAGAGGCCUCCUAACCCCUUUCCAAUAGGUGCAGAAUAUCACUUACCAAAAUAAGUAUUACAGAGCCAUUUCUUAUCCUGGUUGCCCUGUGAGAUGAUUCAAGACCACAACAAGGGCCUAGAGCCUAUACUGAAGUAAAACUCAAGACCUAAGAUGGAUUGAAGGUAGACUGUUCAUAAUGGAUAUAAAGCCCAAAGGAUAAGACAGAUGUUUUGAGACCUAAGACCUGAGAACCAAGAUGGAAAGCCCAUAUCCCAAGAUAAAUGGAAGCCUCAGAUCUGAGACCAUCAGAAGCCUCCAGAGGCAAGAUGUACAAAAGAUGGCCCGAGUUAGACAAAAACCUGACUGAGUUGAGUGGAAGGUUCAAGUUAAGACAGAAGGUCAAAGACCCAGGUUUGGGGCUGAAGGUCUAAGAGCUGGAAUAGGACACAUGGAAGACCUGACAACUGAGACCAAUGACCUGAGAUAGCCCAAGUUUGAAGACCUAAGAUCCAUGGGUUAAAGGUUCUAAAGAUAAAUAAGACUCAAACCAUCCUAGAUGGACAGAAGGUGCAAGAGAAACAGAUAUCAUAAGACUAAAGACUGGAAGCAGAUUUAUGACCUAGAAUCCAAGAAAGAUAGAAACUUCAAGACCCAAGAAAAUUCCAACAAGAUAACCUUAAACCUUAGCUCUUUUUCUAUUAUUAAACCCCUACCCUUAGACUUUUCCAGUUCUCUUCUUUUAAACUUGCUUGUUCUGAGAUGUACUUUUUGAUAUUGCCAUUUACCUUAAAGGAAUAUAUCCAUAGAUUGGCAAUACUAUGCCUGGGCCAGUUCUAAGCCAGUUUUUAACAGUUUCUAGCUGUUCCUCAUGGUUUUAGUGUUUCUAAAACUUUUAUUCCUCUUCACAUUUACUCUACUUGAGAGAGAUCAAAAUUCUGUCAAUAUCUAGUCUGGUUUUUGUUAUUCACCUCAGGAUCAAGAAUCCAUGUAACUGAUACUGUAUUUCAGUCGUCCCUUUUAAACCUCAGAAGCACUUGGCUGAUGAGAAGAGGACAGCCUAGGGCUGUUUAGAAAAUAAACUUCCAGGUUAUCUAGAGAAAAUGUGAAGAGAUGCUCCAGGCCAAUGAGAAGAAUUAGGCAAGAAAUGCACAGGUGUGCCUGCCUUCUGAGAAGCACCAACCAGCAAUACCUUCCUUCUUUGAGCUUAGGUGAGCAGGAUUCCUGGGUUUUGGGAUUUCUAAUGUUGGUUACAGAGAGGGUGAUUGGGCCUGUGAUGGAGUGAGGCCCUAAGGGGUAACCUGAACUCCCUGCUCAUAGUAGUGGCCAAAUAAUUUGUUGGACUUUGCCAACUCUAUUCCUGGGUUUAAUACUCACCUCCAGACUUAAACAGAACUUGGGACGAUUUAGCAGGUUUUACCCUUUCUUUGAUUCUUUUCCCCUCAGUUAUGAGGGAACUCGAUAUAAAUGAUUGACAAUGUGUGUAUAAAACGAGAAAAAAGCAAGACAUACUCAUUAAUAGUAUAUUGGCAAUCAUGCACAGUUAACCAUUGAAAGUGCAGUGUAAGUUGUAAAGCAUUAUGUAAAUCAGGGGUAUUAGACUUGCAAGCAUUAUGGUCUUUGUUGCUUAUUCUUUUUUAAAAACAACCUUUAUAAAAGGUAAGAACCAUUCUUAGCUUAUGAUCCAAGUAGAUUUGGCCUGCUGUCCAUACAUUACCACCCCCUGAUGUAAAUACCAUAGAAUAUGCCCCCAAAAUACUAAUUUCUGUCUCUGUGCCUGUCCCUGUGCUAGACACUGAGAACACAAAGAUUAUUUAUGAUUAUAUCCUAGUAAACCAAAGAAAAAAAUAUGUGAAUGUGCUUUGUAAACUCUAAAGCACUUAAAACCUUACAAGUUUCAGUAUUGAUGAAUACAUACUGAUUACUUCUUAUAUACAUUAUACUGUGCUAGACACUAUGGAUACAAAGGUUAAAAGAAGCAUGAUUAAAAAAUUGCUUUUUCAAGAGAAUGUAGUUCUAUGCAGUCAUAAGGAAUUCGGUGUUCGAUGAAUGAAUAAUUUAUUUAUUUGAGGCCAAUGUGUUUCUCCUACUCUGGUGAUUUUGAGUAAAAAUACAGUAUUCCAGGUAGCAAAGAAGAUAACACAUGGAAACUGCUUUAAACUAUAAAGUAUACUGAAAACACCAGGCUUAAACUAUUGUGAUCAUCUGUAGUAUGUCACAUACUAUUCAAGAUACCAGAGAAACCAAAAGGGAAGAAAAUAUUCUCAUGGUACUAAAAAUUUCAGAAUAGAAGUGCAUAUUAAAGUACUUUGUAAACUAAAGCACUAUACAAAUAUCAGUGGUAUACAUGUUUAUGAAUGAAUAAUAACCACCUCUUUACAUACCAACUAUUGUUUUGAGUACUGUGAAAUUCAAGAUAAAAUUUCCCAAGUAAUUCUCACAUAUAAUAAGAGGAAGUUUAUGCUCUAUACUGUUUGGAUGUAAAGAAUGAAACCACUUAAUUUAAUCAGUCAAGACUUCACUGGUGAGGUCCAUUUAAAUUAUGACCAGUAUAUUUUCCCAGGUAGCAAGAAAAAAGGUAAUUAAUGUGUAUGUUUUCUAAACUAUAAAGUGCUAUGUAAAUGCAGGACAUUAGAUAUUUUCUAUAUAAAUUUUCUGCAAGAUAGGCAUUAUCUUAAAUUCUCAUUGUGUGCUUGACCUACAAUAAGAAGAGUAAUAUAAAUAAAUAUAUAAGCUGAGGGUUUAAAUACCUGCUGAAUGAAUCAAUAUUGAUUGCCCACUCUGUAAACUUACUGUUAUAAGCACUGAAGAGAUUACAGGUUUAUCACAUUCCAUCGUGCCUACAGCUGAGAAUAAACACAGCAAUGCAUAUGUGGGCAUGUUGUGGAUUCUAAAGCACCAUAUAAGUGUAACUUGGUUUUCUUAUCUAGUGCUCAGUACUGGAUUUAUAAAAUUGUAUCGCAGUUAUUAUAAAAGUAGAAAAAAAUUGAAUAAGAAAUGUUAACUAUUGAAAACUGUGAAUAUAAUAUGUAUACAACCCAAUGCAUGAAUGAGUAGUAAUGACCUGUUGUGUGCCAGUGUCCUUCCUAGGCAUUGGGGAUUCAAAGAUAAGCCAUCUUUAUUGUGUUCUGAAUAGUAGAAGAAAAAUCUAUUAAAUCAAUUUACAGUUUGUAAACUGCUAUACCUAAAGCAACAUCUGCUGAUUGAACAUUGAUUAUUUAUUCUCAUCCCGAGAAAUAACAACUGAGGGUUAAAAAAAAAUGUUAUUGAAUAUGCAACAGAGAUCCAUGUGUAAAUUUGCAAAGCCUACAGUUAUAUAGAGAUAGGAAUUAACGACUGGCUUAAUGAAUGAAUUCUGAUUACUUUUUAUGAGGCUCAGAACCUCAUCUGCAUGCCCUUGGAUAUAAAAAUAGUUUUUAAUCAUUAUUUGGUACUCACAGGAGGAACUGAGAUAAUAGAUGUGAGAUCCAGACCAAGAGUCAGUGAACCAUUAAGAAGUUUAAUCAGUGAUGAAAACAUGAGAAAAAUGGAUUAGUGCAAGUCUGUGUGCUAAAUGGUGAGCUAAGUGAGAGUUAAAAUACUCUUCACAGGGAUAUUUGCUCCCUGGUCUAAUUGAACAGAUGGAUUUUUUUUUAGCAGGAUGUGGUUCUCCAUGCAGUUUCUUAAAUGGUGAAUGUUGAUGAUGGAGAUGAAUUAGAUUUACCCUGGCCUGUCUUACAGAUAGUAAAGGAGCAAAAAUGAAGGGGCCAAGUUUGCUUUUCGCUUCAUCUGAUAAACAAAGCAUCUUUUAUGUGGGCUACACCAUUGUAUGUCCUGAGAAUAAGAGAGGUGAAAUGGGCCGAGUCUAAAGAGCUACAGCUGGUCACAGCUGAAGAAAAAAAAAAUAUGUGAUUUGACUAUUGAGUAAAUAGUAUUUGAGUCCCUGUUCGGCACAAGAUAUUGUGUUCAGUGAAUUAAUUUAUUAUUCUGGUCCCAAAGGCCCAUUUACUUGCCUUGGAGAUGUUUUAAAAGGAGAAGAAAUAAAGGCAAGGUUCUUUCCACAUAAAAUGGACAUUUUUCCUAGUUCUAGGAAACCCCAAAGAUACUUGCUCAUCAGCCUAGUUUGAAGCUGAAAGACUGAUGAAAGGGUUCAGGGUUUGCCCUUAUAUCAUUAAUUAAAAAUUCUGCUUUUAUUACAAUUGAAUAAUUUAAGAUGAGAAUCUAGAUGAAACCAUUACUUUUAAACAUAGUUGCUCAUCAAUCUAGCUUAUAGUCAGAAAAACACUAUAUUUGGUAAAUAAUUAUUAAAUAUGAAUAAAGUGGUGUUUUUAAAUGCUAAGGAGAAUGAAGACUUUUAAUAGACCUAGAACAAAAUGCUCUUAAUCUCACUAGCUUAUGGUAGAAACACAAAAACAAAUUUUCUAAGAGACUACGAUUAUUUAUUGAGUUUAACAAACUUCAUUGAGCAGCUGUGUUAAGAUAUUGAGAUGGAAUGAUUUUAUAUAAAUGGUCACCUCUUCGGAACACUUUCUAGAGUGGGAAUAAGAGUGGGCUUUGAAUUUUUUUAGAAUUCAUACAAAUAUUGAUGAAGAUGGUGCUAAAUGAAAUAGAUCUGUUCUAGGCACUUGGUCUCACUUGAAGAUACAAUUAAAAAACAAUAAAUGGAGUGAUACCCUUAAACAGAAGUAUCUGUAUUAGUAUGUCAAACAUAGUGUUAAAUCUUAGAAAACAAGAGAUCUCAAUUAAAAGAUAAUUGCUUAUUAAUAGGCUCAGAAAUUUGAUUAUAUGAGGAAGGUUAUUAUUCAUUCAUUUUUUUCCAGUUAUUCAACAAGUAUAUUUGGAUGCCUUUUGGGUAUAAGUUUCUUUGGUAUACUUUCAACCCAAGAGACAUGUAAAAAUGUAUACCUUCCCAGAGAACUUGAACUUUCUCCUGGCAUGUAUUUUGGUUAGGUGCAUGGCUUAGUCUCUAAACAGCAUUGUGUGGUUUGAUUCCUACUCCAUAUCUCUCCUACCACUCUGGCCACUACAAUAAGCAGGUAGCUGGGUUUUCUAAUGAGCUUACUCCUUAAGUUACAGGAGCCCUCUUUAUAACGGACACUCCAUUUCCCUAGCCCAUCCCUCAGUGAAAUAUGACUGACCACUGUUGGGCAGA